AACCUGGUUGAUCCUGCCAGUAGUCAUAUGCUUGUCUCAAAGACUAAGCCAUGCAUGUCUAAGUAUAAGUAUUAUACAGCGAAACUGCGAAUGGCUCAUUAAAACAGUUAUAAUUUAUUUGAUAAUCGAAUUUACAUGGAUAACCGUGGUAAUUCUAGAGCUAAUACAUGCUGGUAGGCCCGACUUUUUGGAAGGGCGGUAUUUAUUAGAUAACAAACCAAUAUUCCUCUGGUCUAUUGUGGUGAAUCAUAAUAACUGAUCGAAUCGCAAGGUUUUUAACCGCGAUAAGUCAUUCAAGUUUCUGCCCCAUCAGCUUUCGAUGGUAGUGUAUUGGACUACCAUGGCUUUUACGGGUAACGGAGGAUUAGGGUUCGACUCCGGAGAGGGAGCCUGAGAAACGGCUACCACAUCUAAGGAAGGCAGCAGGCGCGUAAAUUACCCAAUCCUGACUCAGGGAGGUAGUGACAAGAAAUAACGGACCGAGGCCUUCGGGCUUCGGGAUUGCAAUGAGCCGAAUUUACACCCCUUAGCGAAGAUCGAUUGGAGGGCAAGUCUGGUGCCAGCAGCCGC
rnacentral:rRNA from 1 species